rnacentral:sRNA from 1 species
UUUUGUUUAUGUAUUUACAUGGAGUGGUUCAUCUUGCAUUUUUGUGAUUUUUUUUGGUAGCAAUACCUUUUAUGCUAUUUCAGUGUUGAUAUAACUUUAAUGAGAAAAUGUGACUGUAAAAAGCAGCUUAUUGUGAGUUACACAGCAUUAAGUGGGAAAACAAAAGCUACCUACAGUCCUAGAUUGGUACAGAAUAUCUUGAUAAAAAUUUAUUUUUCUCAUACAUAGGACACUAUGUUAAAAACAUUCUAAACUUAAAACUACUGUUAUGUCUGCUAGUGACUUGUUAGUUGCUUUGGUUGGUUUUUCUCCGGUGGAGUGUUUUUUAUAAUGUUUUUUUUCUUUAUAUUUUAGCCAAGAGUCGAAGCUAAACCAGAAGUUCAAUCCCAGCCGCCUCGUGUGCGUGAACAACGACCUAGAGAACGACCUGGUUUUCCUCCUAGAGGACCAAGACCAGGCAGAGGAGAUAUGGAACAGAAUGACUCUGACAACCGUAGAAUAAUUCGCUAUCCAGAUAGUCAUCAACUUUUUGUUGGUAACUUGCCACAUGAUAUUGAUGAAAAUGAGCUAAAGGAAUUCUUCAUGAGUAAG